rnacentral:rRNA from 1 species
GAUGAACGCCGGCGGCGUGCCUAAUACAUGCAAGUCGAGCGAACGGACGAGAAGCUUGCUUCUCUGAUGUUAGCGGCGGACGGGUGAGUAACACGUGGAUAACCUACCUAUAAGACUGGGAUAACUUCGGGAAACCGGAGCUAAUACCGGAUAAUAUUUUGAACCGCAUGGUUCAAAAGUGAAAGACGGUCUUGCUGUCACUUAUAGAUGGAUCCGCGCUGCAUUAGCUAGUUGGUAAGGUAACGGCUUACCAAGGCAACGAUGCAUAGCCGACCUGAGAGGGUGAUCGGCCACACUGGAACUGAGACACGGUCCAGACUCCUACGGGAGGCAGCAGUAGGGAAUCUUCCGCAAUGGGCGAAAGCCUGACGGAGCAACGCCGCGUGAGUGAUGAAGGUCUUCGGAUCGUAAAACUCUGUUAUUAGGGAAGAACAUAUGUGUAAGUAACUGUGCACAUCUUGACGGUACCUAAUCAGAAAGCCACGGCUAACUACGUGCCAGCAGCCGCGGUAAUACGUAGGUGGCAAGCGUUAUCCGGAAUUAUUGGGCGUAAAGCGCGCGUAGGCGGUUUUUUAAGUCUGAUGUGAAAGCCCACGGCUCAACCGUGGAGGGUCAUUGGAAACUGGAAAACUUGAGUGCAGAAGAGGAAAGUGGAAUUCCAUGUGUAGCGGUGAAAUGCGCAGAGAUAUGGAGGAACACCAGUGGCGAAGGCGACUUUCUGGUCUGUAACUGACGCUGAUGUGCGAAAGCGUGGGGAUCAAACAGGAUUAGAUACCCUGGUAGUCCACGCCGUAAACGAUGAGUGCUAAGUGUUAGGGGGUUUCCGCCCCUUAGUGCUGCAGCUAACGCAUUAAGCACUCCGCCUGGGGAGUACGACCGCAAGGUUGAAACUCAAAGGAAUUGACGGGGACCCGCACAAGCGGUGGAGCAUGUGGUUUAAUUCGAAGCAACGCGAAGAACCUUACCAAAUCUUGACAUCCUUUGACAACUCUAGAGAUAGAGCUUUCCCCUUCGGGGGACAAAGUGACAGGUGGUGCAUGGUUGUCGUCAGCUCGUGUCGUGAGAUGUUGGGUUAAGUCCCGCAACGAGCGCAACCCUUAAGCUUAGUUGCCAUCAUUAAGUUGGGCACUCUAAGUUGACUGCCGGUGACAAACCGGAGGAAGGUGGGGAUGACGUCAAAUCAUCAUGCCCCUUAUGAUUUGGGCUACACACGUGCUACAAUGGACAAUACAAAGGGCAGCGAAACCGCGAGGUCAAGCAAAUCCCAUAAAGUUGUUCUCAGUUCGGAUUGUAGUCUGCAACUCGACUACAUGAAGCUGGAAUCGCUAGUAAUCGUAGAUCAGCAUGCUACGGUGAAUACGUUCCCGGGUCU